rnacentral:rRNA from 1 species
CUACGUGCCAGCAGCCGCGGUAAUACGUAGGUGGCAAGCGUUGUCCGGAAUUAUUGGGCGUAAAGCGCGCGCAGGCGGAUUGGUCAGUCUGUCUUAAAAGUUCGGGGCUUAACCCCGUGAUGGGAUGGAAACUGCCAAUCUAGAGUAUCGGAGAGGGAAGUGGAAUUCCUAGUGUAGCGGUGAAAUGCGUAGAUAUUAGGAAGAACACCAGUGGCGAAGGCGACUUUCUGGACGAAAACUGACGCUGAGGCGCGAAAGCCAGGGGAGCGAACGGGAUUAGAUACCCCGGUAGUCCUGGCCGUAAACGAUGGGUACUAGGUGUAGGAGGUAUCGACCCCUUCUGUGCCGGAGUUAACGCAAUAAGUACCCCGCCUGGGGAGUACGACCGCAAGGUUGAAACUCAAAGGAAUUGACGGGGGCCCGCACAAGCGGUGGAGUAUGUGGUUUAAUUCGACGCAACGCGAAGAACCUUACCAGGUCUUGACAUUGAUGGACAGAACUAGAGAUAG